rnacentral:rRNA from 1 species
AUCAUGGCUCAGGAUGAACGCUAGCUACAGGCUUAACACAUGCAAGUCGAGGGGAAACGACAUCGAAAGCUUGCUUUUGAUGGGCGUCGACCGGCGCACGGGUGAGUAACGCGUAUCCAACCUGCCCACCACUUGGGGAUAACCUUGCGAAAGUAAGACUAAUACCCAAUGACGUCUCUAGAAGACAUCUGAAGGAGAUUAAAGAUUUAUCGGUGAUGGAUGGGGAUGCGUCUGAUUAGCUUGUUGGCGGGGUAACGGCCCACCAAGGCGACGAUCAGUAGGGGUUCUGAGAGGAAGGUCCCCCACAUUGGAACUGAGACACGGUCCAAACUCCUACGGGAGGCAGCAGUGAGGAAUAUUGGUCAAUGGACGAGAGUCUGAACCAGCCAAGUAGCGUGCAGGAUGACGGCCCUAUGGGUUGUAAACUGCUUUUAUAAGGGAAUAAAGUGAGUCUCGUGAGACUUUUUGCAUGUACCUUAUGAAUAAGGACCGGCUAAUUCCGUGCCAGCAGCCGCGGUAAUACGGAAGGUCCGGGCGUUAUCCGGAUUUAUUGGGUUUAAAGGGAGCGUAGGCCGGAGAUUAAGCGUGUUGUGAAAUGUAGACGCUCAACGUCUGCACUGCAGCGCGAACUGGUUUCCUUGAGUACGCACAAAGUGGGCGGAAUUCGUGGUGUAGCGGUGAAAUGCUUAGAUAUCACGAAGAACUCCGAUUGCGAAGGCAGCUCACUGGAGCGCAACUGACGCUGAAGCUCGAAAGUGCGGGUAUCGAACAGGAUUAGAUACCCUGGUAGUCCGCACGGUAAACGAUGGAUGCCGCUGUUGGUCUGAAUAGGUCAGCGGCCAAGCGAAAGCAUUAAGCAUCCCGCCUGGGGAGUACGCCGGCAACGGUGCAACUCAAAUGAAUUGACGGA